UUCUGCUGGGCUGCGCGUUGGCAUUGAAAGUGCGGCAGGCGAGCUGCCAACAACGCUCCAUCCCCAGCAAAUCCCCAAUCGGAACCAGAAGAAUUCUAAACACAACAAAAAGUACUAUAAUACCACCAAAAGCCAGCAAACAAUUCUUCUAUUAUUCGUUGCAAAUUAGACACGGAAAUGACAUCAACAGCAAAAUUGUAUCUGUCAAAUCGAAGCCACCCACAAUACGAAACCAAAUAACAAUGCAAAGUAAUUGCAAAUUAAUUGUGUUCAAUUCUAAUAGAAGUGCUUGUCAAAUUAAAAAAUAAAUUUAAAUAAUGUAUACCUUGCGCAAAAUAAUUUAAAUAAUUUUAUGUGCAUUCUAUAGUGCUCUCCGAAAAUCACGAAAAAAAGAACGGAAGAAGGAGAGAGAGAAAUGGAUUAAAGAAUGCAAGUGCAUUUCACAACUAUUUUAAAUAAGUGACCCGAAAACCAGUGAGUUCUGUCUAUAUAAAAAUAAAAAGAAUAUUUAGAAAAAAAUGGAAUUAUAAAAAGUCAGUGUAUUUUUGAACUACGAAAAACAACAGUUUGGAUGGAAGAGGAACACAAAAUUAACUGGGAUCUUAAAAGGGUGGUGAGCUGCGUCAGCAUGGAAAUUUAAUUAGCGACAGUUCAGUUCAGCUGAGCAGCGCUAAGUCGAGAGGAUUUGACUGCCCCGACCCCCCAAAACCACCCACCACCCACUCGACAGAAAAGGGGAGAUUUCGUUGACUUUUGCAUGACGACAGCAAAAAGCGAAAAGGCGGAACAACAAUCGAAAUGCAACUGCACGAGUGUGUGGGUGUGCGAGCGAGGCGGCCUACAUAAAGUAGACAUGCGCUCUCGCUCAGCGACUUGAACUUGAAAACUCUUUACUGCCGGCAAAAAACGAGAGAGAUGGAGAGCAGGUAUGUGUUGAGUGUGUGUGCGUAAGUGUUUGCCAUUGAUUAAGUUAAACAACAAAAUCAGGGCAGAGCGCUGGCUGCGCUCUCUCAGCUUUUGUGUGAGAGAGGGCUUUUGCGUGGGCGGCUUAAGGCAGCGCAGUCGACGUCGCUGCCGGCGUCGGCCAACUGUUUGCUGUUUUGUUGUACUGUAGCCACAUACUGUUGCAUACUUAAGGGGAUAGGAGGACAAGGGGUGAAAAGCGGGAAAAUCGGUGGGCAGUACGGGAGGGGUGAAGGAGCAGGGGAGCGGGAGUGACCUCCACCUGUGUGAGCCCAGCUGCAGCUUCCCUUUUGGCAAGUUUAUUCAGUGACGAGCGGGCAGCCGAUGAGGUCAGCAUCACGCAUACGCCUAGUUAUCCCCAGUAUCCCGUAUCCUGUUUAGUGUCGGUGUGUGCGAGUUUGUGUGCGUGUGAGUGGUUCGUUCCAAGUUCAUUUUAAAGGCGCGUCGCCCUUUAUAGCAAAAUCAGGUGUGGAGAAUUGAUUAGCACAGCCCAAAAAUAGAAGAAAAGCUGAAACAAUAUGGUUGGUGUAUUGUGUACUUACAUAGAACUCAAGUGACGCACGCCAGCAUAUGGCAAUUAAAUUUGAAUAAUUAAGCAGCUGAGAACGACACGACCCGAACUCUCCUCCACACUUAUAUGUACAUACAAAUGUACACCACCAACUCACACUUUUGGCAUAUGCAACACUCGUUCUUGUUGUCUUGCACCUUGACCUUUCCACACCCAUGCAGCACUACGCGUGGGCUGAGCAGCAUUCGGAUACACACGCCCCUUCCAGGGGAUCGGGGAAAUGGAUAUAUACAUAUACUCGCUUAUGUGGAACAACCCACAAGUCGGCUGGCAGCUGUUGGAGCCGAAUCCAAGGCGACGAGAUGCACGCCAAAAACACUUCGGUUAUCCCCCAGAAAAGGACCAGUUAGGCCAGCGGAAAGUUUUGCACACUAGUCACAGAUGGUACAAGUGCAAUAAAUUAAAUAUCAAGAAAAGACCAGGAAAUAGUCCAAGAGUUAUUAGUGGGUUCAGGUAAAGUUUUGGAGUUUAUAAAAGUGGUUCAAUAAAAUAUCUUUCGAGAGUAAAGAACUUUAAAGAAAGAAAGGAUAAUUAUCUAGUGAGGUAGAUUGUUGUUUGACAAUGAUUUAGAUUUGAAAGGAUUUAGUGAACUUAGUGCAACGGUUUUAUUAAAUUUUAAUGUGUAUGAAAAUAUUUUAUCAGGGCUUUGAUCAAAGGUCAAAUGAUAUUCUGUGACUAGUACUAGAAUGCCUAAAUUAAUGGUAAAUUAAACUGGCAAAUUAGGAAUGCAGAAAAUGUGUUAUUAAUCUUGGUUUUCUAUAUUUAUUUAAAGUAAUUAUAUUCAUAUUAGACAUAUAGAAAGUAUUGUCGCACAAACAGUUCUAUUGUGAAAUUAGGGAACAGAGAAAUGUAAUUUAAGUUAACUAAGAAGUUAAUUGCAGAAAGGUAAUAAGUGGUAAACUAUAAUAAAACUAUUUCAUCAAUUUUAAAGGUAUUUUUUUUUAGAUGGUAUACAAUAAUUAGGACUAUAUUAACAAUCAAAAAAUCGUAUUCAUCAACUCAAUGAAUUAAAGUGACAAAUAAAUGAACCAGAAAUUUUUUAAAAAUAUGGUUAAAAGUGUGAUCAAAAUGAUUUAACUGGAAAAUUUAUAUUAGAAAAGUGCAGCUUAAUGAAAAUCUUGUGAAAACUUCAUCUGCAGCUUGGACCAGAGCAAGAAAAGUGGUUUGUGUACUUGCUGAGCUUUCCGCGAAAAGCUAAAUUUUCAUAUGCAACUGCCAUUGGGAUACACCCUGUGCUCGCUUUGAAUAAACUGCAGCAAGUGAACACAGCUGGUGGUAUCCAGUGGCCGUUUGGCAUCCUUGCAGCUCCAGAAACGUCCAGGAUGACUCCUUGCUUCAAAAUGGGGUAAGUCUCUCCUCCGAUCUACCAGUUUCCUGCUCGGGAUAAUACCAUUUGUUUUGCAAGUCCAAUUUAUCAAUAAUUUUCAUUUCGUUUAAUUGUUUCUUAUAUUCCGUUACGAACCUAAUUUUGCCAUACUAAAAAGAUGUUCUCUUAGCCAUAAGCUUCAGUUCAAUUCAACAAAGAUUUCAUUUCUUCCCAACAAAAAGAAAAAAACAAUGAAAAGAGAUAAAUUGGAAUUUGAAUAAAAUAAUCUUAAGACUUAAGAAUCGUUUAAGAAAAUAAUCAGUGAGAAGACAAAAAUUGCAUAUGAUUAUACUCAGCAUUUUCUUGUUACACAUUCAAAAUAAUUAUAAUUUCGCUUUUGGUUUUCCGCUUGCUCCGAUUUUCUUUUUGAUUUGAAUGUAUUAUUUACCCCGACUUACACGCACAUGGGGGCGGAUUGGUGUGGGUUUUGAGGUGCGAUAAUGGGCGCAUCGAAUGCAACGCUCUGAAAACUCUUUAAAACAUUAAUUAUGCCCCGCACAAAAAGCAAGCCGUCCGUAGUAAUGAGUGAAAUUUCAGCGAGGAGCGGCCCAAUCAGCUUUAGAAAUCGCUGGCAGAAACAAUUAAAAAGAUCUUCAUGCUGCAAAUUGAUUUUGUUUGCGAUUUAUAUAUAUUUAUUUUCGCCCAUUUUUCAGUUUUCACCCAGUCGCGUGCACUUGCUGCAAAACGAAAGCCAUUUGGUAUUUUCUAUUUUCGUUUCGCUUCGGCUUUUUGGCUCAAACAUUGGCGAUGCGGUGCGAUGCAAUGCGAAUUGGCCAAUAGUUCUUGGUCCGAACUGCAGCUGUGCAAAGGCAACUUGGUGACAUUAUUUCGACAUUUGCCUGCUCGCUGCUGCAUCCACUUUUGUCACUUUUGCAUUUCAAAUGACCGUCAAUUAUCCUUUGUCGACACUCCCCUUUGUCUUUCGCAGUUCUCUUUUCCCUGAGGUCAAGGAAAGCGAAAUUGAUUUUCUGCCCCAGCGAAUUUCUCCUUUCUCCCCCGUGUUUUACUGUUAUAUAUAGUGUGGUACGUGUGCAUUUAAGAGUCUUUUCUGCCUUCCUUGUGUCUUAUGCAAUCGCUGGGUUCUGUCACUGCCAUGAUUUUUUCGGUCAAAUGGCAGUGCAAAAUCAAUUUUCCCCCGGGGCUAGAAAAACAAUUAUCUGGAGGGUAAUUAAAGACAGUCAUCGGCACAGUGUGCAUUGUGUUCGACGCAGUUUCGCCUCUCGGUGACCUCAUGACAAGUUUUAUGAUGAAAUUAGCUGCGAUUGAAGUGCUCGCAUAUAAAACGCCAUCAAAUUCAAUAUAAAACCCGCACUCAAAUAAUAGACAAUGGCUAAGCCCUGUGACUUACGCAAUCACGGGAUAUAGAAAUCAAACUUUACAUAGCUGCUUUAUAAACGGAAAUAACAAGUUUAUGGCCAAAUAAUUAAAUCAUUAAUUUAUGGGAAACGGUUAUAGUUAAACUCUAUGUUCAAAUGAAGUCGUCAAAUUGAUUUAUUCAACUUAAAUAAACGUUAAAUUUUUAAAAGCGAUCCGCCAUUUUUUUAUAAGGUAGAUUUUUAUUUGUUGACCUCAAAGUCAUAUUUAUAUAGCAUUCACAUUUUUAAAGGCUAAGACAUUAAUGUGGGUUUAAUAAGGUGCAUGGAAAUAAUACUAUGUCUAGAUUUCGAGUAAUGAAAUUUAUAUUAUGGGAUUAGGAUGAGAAUCUAAGAAAUGUGAUUUUAAUUUUUUAUUUUGAGUUGUUUGAUUUAAAAACCCCCAAAAAAAAUGUUUGUGCCUCACCCAAAAAAUUUGUUUCUGCUUACAUUAUUUCAAAUGUAAAUUUACCCAACAAUCCAACUAAAUAAAUUCCCCCAGUUGGAUUCUGGGGUCGAAUUUAGAAUGUUUUAUUUAUUUAAAUUUAAGUAUUUUUAAGAGGGAUCAUAUGCACUGUUAAUAUUAAUUUUCCCCGGUUUGUCUGUCUGUCUGUCAGCCCACUUAAAAUCAUUUAUCGCACAAGAUCGUGUGUCAGCUCUCGUUUUAUCGAAAUAACAUUAUAAUGGCAGUACGGGCACUAAUCACACGAAAUGCUUCAGGUCAUGCAUGACGAGAUUAACAAUUCCGAUAGCAGCUGUUGGCCUCAAGCGGAACAAUCGCGGUGGAAAAGCGGAAUUUUCAAUUUAAGGUUGACCUUAGAACAAAAUUUGAUCGAUAAUUUCGCAUAAUUGUGGAAUCUCUCUCGCAAAAAAAAACUGUGACACACGGACACGCACACAGAGAAACGUCACCUUGAACACUUAACUGCAACUGUGCAAGCGAGAUAGCUAGAAAGAGAGGUGGAGAGUAGUAGAUAAAGAGAGCUAGAUAGUUUGCGUCAUGUGCAACUGCAAAAGCUUUUGGCUUCCGCUGUUCGUUUGUGUCUGUGUGUGUGGGAGGAGAGAGCUUUAACCGCUCUCCGACUCUCUUUUUAGUGCCGAGUGAGUUAGCUUUUUUGAACGAGCCGAGCAGCUGACAGUUGCGCUUCAGCAUUAGACCAAAGUAGUUUGACUUUUUAGUUUUUAGCCGCGAAAUGAAAAGUUCCAUGUGUGUGUGUGUGUGUGUGUUGUGGCAGCUGCAUUUGCAGCGAGAGACAGAAAUACAUUUCGUACAAAAUUCCGCCCUGCAUUUAGUAUAUUUCACCUUAGAGCGUCUUUGCCACACACACACACACUGCAUACGAGAGACAGACACACACGUGGCCAUCAAAACGGUAUCGGUUCGCGUCGCGUUUGGCCUAAAAUUGUAACAGUUUUUCUUUACAACGGCAACGGCAACGGCAACAAAGGCAAAGGCAAAGAAAAGCCAAAAACGCAGCUGCAGUCGACGUCGCUGCUGCUGCAGUCGCCGACGUCCGUUUCUGUUGGCCAAUUGCCGUUGGCCAGCUUCAGUGUUCAUUUUCCCAUCGAGUCGGCAACAACGAGCGGAAGUCGCAGAGGCACACAGCUGGCGGACAGUCGAUCGAUCCACACAACAGCUGAUUAACUGCGAUUCCUAACCCACAUAACAAAAUUGCCAUAAAACCAAAGCAAAAAACUUGUAUGCUUGAACAGCGUUCGUCAUUAGUUAGCUGCGUCAAUUGUGGACUCUGUUAUUUAUAAAUGCCGCUGGGGCAGCCACGUAAAUGGUGACGGAAAGAGAGAUAAGUUAUGGAAUUUCUUACUUCCAGCUUAUCGUGGAUACAUUUCCAUAUUGCUCUGUUGCCAGGCGAAUAAUCCGCUCUCAGAAAACUGAUGAAAAACGACGAAAAAGAAAUCAUUCACAAAAAUUUUUAUAAAAUGUGGCCAGACAAGGGCUGCCUUCGGUUUUGGACUUGUCUGGCUGUUGUUGUUUCCCGUCUGCAGAUAAAGAAUCGAAUAGCAAACAUUCCGCGUCUGUGAUUACGUAUACGCAGCGUUCACCGAGCGAUAGGUUUCCCCCCUUUGCGGGUGCACGCGUGCUUGUGCCUACGAAAAUUCAUGGGUGUAUCUGUAUCUGAGUCAGUCGAGUGUGUAUUUACCAGAUUAUAAGUGCCGGAGCCAGUGUGCGUGUUGUUCAGUUUUGUGUGGCUGAUCAUGCGACCCACCGAAUUAAAAUGGGGAAACGCUUUUUCCAUUUGAUACUCUUUGUCGUGGAACUGCGACUUUGAUAGCCCCUAUUUUUAAAUAAAGUAAACAAAAACAGUUUUUUAUAAAAAAUUUU